rnacentral:rRNA from 1 species
GAUGAACGCUGGCGGCGUGCUUAACACAUGCAAGUCGAACGGAAAGGCCCUGCUUUUGUGGGGUGCUCGAGUGGCGAACGGGUGGGUAACACGUGAGUAACCUGCCCCUUACUUUGGGGUAACUUCUGGUAACUGCGGCUAAUACCGCAUAGGAGCUCCUGCUGCACGGUGGGGGUUGGAAAGUUCCGGCGGUAGGGGAUGGACUCGCGGCUUAUCGGCUUGUUGGUGGGGUAGUGGUUUACCCAGGCUUAGACGGAUAGCCGGCAUGGGAGGGGGACCGGCGACAAGGGGACUGAGGUAGGGAGCAGACGGCAACGGGGGGCAGCAGUGGGAAGUAUUGCGCAGCGAGGGGAAGCGUGAGGCGGAAACGUCGCGUGCGGAAAGACGGCUUUCGGGUGGUAAACCGAUUUCGCCUGUGACGAAGCGUGAGUGACGGUAAUGGGUAAAGAAGCACCGGCUAACUACGUG